rnacentral:rRNA from 1 species
UACGAACCGAGCGAACGUUGUUCGGAAUCACUGGGCUUAAAGGGCGCGUAGGCGGGCAUUCAAGUCCGUGGUGAAAUCCGGCAGCUCAACUGUCGAACUGCCGCGGAUACUGGGUGUCUCGAGGGAGGUAGGGGUGUGCGGAACUAUUGGUGGAGCGGUGAAAUGCGUUGAUAUCAAUAGGAACGCCGGUGGCGAAGGCGGCACGCUGGACCUUUUCUGACGCUGAGGCGCGAAAGCCAGGGGAGCAAACGGG